rnacentral:lncRNA from 1 species
UGGACCCCCUGCUGUGUCUGGUGUCGUCGUGGCGAUCCAUCCCUAGUUGCUUCUCCUGGUUUGCUGUCACGGUGAUCAUCAGCUUCAGCUCCACAGUGAUCUCCACCACGGAGACACCUCUCAUUACCAGCUUCCUCUCUCCACCCACGACUGUGCACAUCAAUCCUUCUGUCUUCUUUCUCUCUCCGCACCGAAAACUGUGCACGUCAACUCCACCGUCUCCUUCUCUUCUCUUCACACCCGCAACUGUGCUCGUCAAUUCCACCAUCUCCUUCUCUUCUCUUCACACCCGCGACUGUGCACGUCAACUCUUCUCUCCUGUUCUUGUGUCUUUUUCUGUCUCUCUCUCUCCGCCUGUCUCCCAGUAGUCGUGGUCUCUCUCCCCUCUGCGUCUCUCUCUCUCUCUCUCUCUCUCUCUCAUCCCAUUUAUUUCUUCUGUCUCCCACGUUCUUGUUUUCUACACCUUCCUCUUCCCCCCCCCCUUCUAUGGGUUCUCUCUCUCUCCACUCCUGUUUCUCUGUCUCUGUUUCUGUCUUUUCUCUCCCCCCUCCACUAGCACUACUCAGGCAUCUUUAUACUUAAUACUCAGGCAUUUUCUCUCUCUCUGUUUCUGUCUGUCUUUUCUCUCUCUCUCUGUUCCUGUCUUUUCUCUCUCUCUCUCUCUCUCUCUCUGUUGCUCUUUCUCUCUCUCUGUUGCUCUCUCUCUCUCUCUCUCUGUUGCUCUCUCUCUCUCUCUCUCUCUGUUGCUCUUUCUCUCUCUCUCUCUCUGUUGCUCUCUCUGUUGCUCUCUCUCUCUCUCUCUCUCUCUCUCUGUUGCUCUCUCUCGCUCUCUCUCUGUUGCUCCUCUCUCUCUUCUCCUCUCUUCUCUCUCUCUCUCUGUUGCUCUCUCUCUCUCUCUCUCCUUCUCUCUCUUCUCUCCCUCCCUCUCUACUCCGACUGCUGAGGGAUUCCCUCUCCCUGUCUUUAGUUGUUGCUGUUUCCCUCCUUUGUUCUUCUCUCCUCCCUCCUCCUCCUCCUCUUCCUCUUCCUCCUCCUCCUCCACUUCUCUUUCUGCUGGUGUGGAGCUGUGGGGUGCUAGGGGGGGGUAUGGGGGUGGAGGGUGUGGGGCG